UUGAURAGGUGCUUGCACCUUUGAUACUUAGCGGCGGACGGGUGAGUAACACGUGGGUAACCUGCCUAUAAGACUGGGAUAACAUUCGGAAACGAAUGCUAAUACCGGAUACGCGAUAUGGUCGCAUGACYGAAUCGGGAAAGAUGGAGCAAUCUAUCACUUAUAGAUGGACCCGCGGCGCAUUAGCUAGUUGGUGAGGUAACGGCUCACCAAGGCGACGAUGCGUAGCCGACCUGAGAGGGUGAUCGGCCACACUGGGACUGAGACACGGCCCAGACUCCUACGGGAGGCAGCAGUAGGGAAUCUUCCGCAAUGGACGAAAGUCUGACGGAGCAACGCCGCGUGAGUGAUGAAGGUUUUCGGNUCGUAAAGCUCUGUUGCCAGGGAAGANNGCUUGGGAGNNUAACUGCUCNCAAGGUGACGGUACCUGAGAAGAAAGCCCCGGCUAACUACGUGCCAGCAGCCGCGGUAAUACGUAGGGGGCAAGCGUUGUCCGGAAUUAUUGGGCGUAAAGCGCGCGCAGGCGGCCUUGUAAGUCUGUUGUUUAAACUUGGGGCUCAACCCCAAGUCGCAAUGGAAACUGCAAAGCUUGAGUACAGAAGAGGAAAGUGGAAUUCCACGUGUAGCGGUGAAAUGCGUAGAGAUGUGGAGGAACACCANUGGCGAANGCGACUUUCUGGGCUGUAACUGACGCU
rnacentral:rRNA from 1 species